CUCAGCUUGUUGAGAAACUAGCAAACAAUUUAACAUAAGUGAUAAUGCUAGUAAGCUAGCUUCUAUCUGAAGCUAGUAUAAGUCAGCUAGAAUCUCAAGCAGGCUGGGGAAGCUAACAAGCUCGCAGUAAUUUUCAAUAACUGAGUUGGGGAGGACUCAUCCAGCAUCCAAAUCCCAGCAUUGCGGUGGUGUGGUUGGCUUUUGAAGCCAGCUAAUGAAGUGGAGAAAAUCGCUUGGCUCUAAAGCUAUACUGAAGAAAGUACCAAGGUAGGUGAUAUUUAAAGUGAUCAACAUUCAUACCCAGAGGAAAUGAAGCUGUGCAGCGUGGGACAACACUACAAACCGCAAGGACCUGAGUAGAAAUCUCAGGAUGAUGGCAGCAAUUGAGUGCCCACCUGUUGCUGGGAAUGUCCGACACAUUGGUGAUGGACUCCCUCUUCUCCAGUUUCCAUUGCUCACCUCUGGGAUCCACAAGGCACAGCUGACUCCUAACCCAUUGAGGUCUUAGCGGCACCUUUGCUCACCGUCAAAGUCCCGACGUCCACGUAACUGAGGGCCAGGGUGGUCGACCUGUGGAUCAACUUCUUGGGCCUGACGAACAUGACUUCAUUGCUUUUGUCGUCUACUGCCCGGACCAUGGGCUCUGGGAUGGACUGAGGGCUAACGGGCACCUGGACACCCUUCUUCCCUGCUUCUGCCUCCAUGGAUGGGCCAGGAUGUAGUAAUCCUCCGCGUUGAGCUGUCUGCGACCAGCAGGUGGAAUUGCUGGCAUUGUUGGACUCGUCGCUGCUGCUGUGGUUGGCUUUUGAAACUAGCUAAUGGAGUGAAGAAAAUAGCUUUGCUCUGAAGCUAAAUGAAGAAGGUACCAAGGUAGGUGAUAUUUAAACUGAUCAACAUUCACACCUAGAGGAAAGGAAGCUGUGCAGCGUGGGACAACACUACAAACCGCAAGGACCUGAGCAGAAAUCCCAGGAUGAUGGUAGCAGUUGAUUGCCCACUUGUUGCUGGGAAUGUGCAACACAUUGGUGACGGACUCCAUCUUCUCCCAUUCCCACUGCUCACCGCUGUGAUCCACAAGGCACAGCUGACAUGAAUUCACUUGGUUCUACUGCGGGUGCACAUAUCCUCCAGGAAGUUCAUGGACCCCUUACAUCUUGGUUGUGUCACGGACGAAACUCGGGGGUGGACCCAAAUGCACGACUCAGUUGAGAGGUGCAUCCGCAGUCCGAUGCCUGUGCCGGGCUUGGUGCUUGGAGCAUUUUGGAAGCAGAGCAGAAGAGAUGCUCAAGAGCGGCCAGCAUCCAGCUGAGAUAAUGGAAUUGAGCGAGAUUUUUGACAAGCAGUUGAGCGAGCCAGCAGCACCUCUGUGCACCAACAGCAGGACAAGGAGAGGACGUUAGAAAUACAGGAACUACUGUACUGCAUAUUCAACGACACAAAUACAUUCCAAUAAACAAUUGCAACUAUGGGCCUCUGCUGUUGUUUGUUUUACAAGAUGACAUUCCGGAGCAAAACAGAAGCACCAACAUCAUGUUGACAGAAUCUCAAGCAAGAUAUGUUCAAUUUUUUUUGUUUUUUGUUUUUUGUUUUUUUUCCCUCAAGGAUUUGUUUUAGAACCUGCACAAAUUGAACACUUUUGAAAUACCUGUCAGUGAUUCAGAACUUCUGCCUGGGGGAAUCAUAUUCCUAUUCCUGAGCUGAAUUCUUGACUUUAGAGGCACAAAGUACAACAUUGCGCACUGACAGCUGACACAGAGAAGUGAAAGCAAACGGCAGGAACUACAAAAAGCCAUGAUGUGAUAAAUAAUAAAUAAAAGCUGUUUGACGUACAUAGGGAGCUGUCACGACAAUAAAUUUGCAUUCCUCUCUUUGUCAGGAGUCUUCAAGUGGAGUAUUAUAAAUGAUGCCAAUGUAGCUCAUUCACUUUACAGUGAAACUCAACUAAGGCCUAUACAUCCAUAACAUAUUUUUAGCUGUUUGGAAUAACAUAGUGCUUCAAACCAUGCUGUUGUCUACGAUUGCAUUUCUUCAGCCACGUGCAUUCUGUGGGGAGCGUAGCAUCGUGGCAGCACCUUGACAAGCUCAUCCAUCAGCACAGCAUGCUCACGUCCUCAU